AUCCUGGCUCAGAUUGAACGCUGGCGGCAUGCCUUACACAUGCAAGUCGAACGGCAGGCACGGGGGCAACCUGGUGGCGAGUGGCGAACGGGUGAGUAAUGCAUCGGAACGUGCCAUUGAGUGGGGAUAACGUAGCGAAAGUUGCGCUAAUACCGCAUAUUCUGUGAGCAGGAAAGCAGGGGACCGCAAGGCCUUGCGCUCUUUGAGCGGCCGAUGUCAGAUUAGCUAGUUGGUGAGGUAACGGCUUACCAAGGCGACGAUCUGUAGCGGGUCUGAGAGGAUGAUCCGCCACACUGGAACUGAGACACGGUCCAGACUCCUACGGGAGGCAGCAGUGGGGAAUUUUGGACAAUGGGCGCAAGCCUGAUCCAGCCAUGCCGCGUGAGUGAAGAAGGCCUUCGGGUUGUAAAGCUCUUUCGGCCGGGAAGAAAUCGCAUGGGUUAAUACCCUGUGUGGAUGACGGUACCGGAAUAAGAAGCACCGGCUAACUACGUG
rnacentral:rRNA from 1 species